GGGUGCAAUUAAACUCAGAUUGGUCUGAAUGACACACCGGCUCCAUGCAAAGUCAAACGUGACUCAAGAAGAUUCGUCUGUAUUUUGUGUGAAACAAGAUAUUCAUUCCAAGGAGUAUGAACCAUCCGGGCGGCGUGUAGUCACAUUUCCACUAAAUUCGCAAACUCAACACACAGCAUAUCCAGAACUAUCUGGAUACAAAUGGCGGUGUCAGCGGUAACAAUAAGAAAUGUGCAAAAAAUAACCUUCCUCAAGAAAGAGUUAGAUACAGCGUGGUCCUCAUGUUGUCUCACCUCCCCUCGUGCUUUAUAAUGGCAGUUCGCCACAUUUUGCAGGAUGAUGUAUGAUGUUGAAUAGACACUAAAUCGUGAAAAGCUGUGGAUGGAAAUAUAAAAUAAAAAUAAAUGUACCAUGCGUUACAGUUUAGACUAAAA